UCACCCCUCAAGCCUUCCGGCUUGGUGUUGGACGGUUUGGUGGCAGAGCCUUCGGGCGGCGGUCACCCCUCCCAAAGACAAUGACGGCGGCCUCGUUGGACCCCCGGUACACUGAGUUCCUCACCGAACACGUACCGGAUCAAGGGCCCGCGGAGCACGGUCUGCCUCCCCUCAGGGAGAACUUUUUUCUCAA
rnacentral:misc_RNA from 1 species